AACGAACGCUGGCGGCAGGCUUAACACAUGCAAGUCGAACGCAUCCUUCGGGAUGAGUGGCAGACGGGUGAGUAACGCGUGGGAACGUGCCCUUUAGUUUGGAAUAACCCAGGGAAACUUGGGCUAAUACCGGAUACGCCCGAAAGGGGAAAGAUUUAUCGCUGAAGGAGCGGCCCGCGUCUGAUUAGCUAGUUGGUGAGGUAAUGGCUCACCAAGGCGACGAUCAGUAGCUGGUCGAGAGGAUGAUCAGCCACACUGGGACUGAGACACGGCCCAGACUCCUACGGGAGGCAGCAGUGGGGAAUAUUGGACAAUGGGCGCAAGCCUGAUCCAGCAAUGCCGCGUGAGUGAGGAAGGCCUUAGGGUUGUAAAGCUCUUUCACCCGCGACGAUGAUGACGGUAGCGGGAGAAGAAGCCCCGGCUAACUUCGUGCCAGCAGCCGCCGU
rnacentral:rRNA from 1 species